AAGACCCUGGGAAAGCCCCUGAAACCAAACAAGGGACUAUAAAAGUUGCAGCACAAGCAGCAGCUAAAAAGGAUGAAAAGAAGGAAGAUUCCAAGAAAACAAAAACAUCUGCACAAGGUAUUGGAAAUGUUUUCUGAUUCUGUCUUAUAUUUGA